rnacentral:rRNA from 1 species
GACGAACGCUGGCGGCGUGCUUAACACAUGCAAGUCGAACGAUGAAGCUGGAGCUUGCUCUGGUGGAUUAGUGGCGAACGGGUGAGUAACACGUGAGUAACCUGCCCUGGACUCUGGGAUAACCCCGAGAAAUCGGAACUAAUACCGGAUAGGACCUUGCACCGCAUGGUGUGGGGUGGAAAGUUUUUCGGUCUGGGAUGGACUCGCGGCCUAUCAGCUUGUUGGUGAGGUAAUGGCUCACCAAGGCGUCGACGGGUAGCCGGCCUGAGAGGGUGACCGGCCACACUGGGACUGGGACACGGCCCAGACUCCUACGGGAGGCAGCAGUGGGGAAUAUUGCACAAUGGGCGCAAGCCUGAUGCAGCAACGCCGCGUGCGGGAUGACGGCCUUCGGGUUGUAAACCGCUUUUAGUAAGGAAGAAGGGGCUUCGGCCUUGACGGUACUUGCAGAAAAAGGACCGGCUAACUUCGUGCCAGCAGCCGCCGUAACAC